CAGCAGGGGGUGCGGUAUGAGAGUCUCCUUUCGCUGUUACAUGCAAUGUGCUUUGUGGACUUCACCGGACAGAGGUUGCUCUUCUGAUUUCAGUUUUGUGAUGAAACAAAGAUCAAAAUUCACCCAGGCUCAAACGUUAUGGUCCCAAAGAACGUCUGGAGGGCAGUCAUGCAACUAGGCCAACAGUUACAUUGACAUGGCAAGAGCUGCUGUUGGGUGCUUUUGAUGUUGACAUGUUGCUGAAGAGCAACCUGAGAGAUUCUGUCAUGAAGUCCUUACCUGGUUCAACAAAUGGACACGUGGGAAUGGCUUACAACAAUAACAUGGCUGAAUUAAGAAGUGAUGGGAGCAAAAAAUGGAAUUAAUUGGAUUAAAUGUGUUUCGUGUUUUGA